rnacentral:rRNA from 1 species
GUUUGUUUUUAUGAGCGUCCGGUGGAUGCCUUGGCACCAGGGGCCGAUGAAGGACGUGGUGGCCUGCGAUAAGCCUCGGGGAGCCGGCUGGCGGGCUGUGAUCCGGGGGUUUCCGAAUGGGGGGACCUGGCACGAGUCGUGUCGUGCCACCCGCGCCUGAGCCUUGUGGUAGGGCGUGGGGGGUGACGCGGGGAAGUGAAACAUCUCAGUACCCGCAGGAGAGGAUAUUCCGUUAGUAGUGGCGAGCGAACGCGGAUGAUGGUCAAACCGUCGUCGUGCGAUACCCGGCAGGGGUUGCGGCGGCGGGGUUGUGGGGCGUGUCCUUCCACUGUCUGCCGGUGGUGGGCGCGGUGACAAACCUGGGUGGUAGCCGAACCCUCUGGGAAGGGGGGCCGUAGUGGGUGACAGCCCUGUAGGCGAAGCCGUCCGGGCCGUGUGGGCGCGUUCCCGAGUAGCACGGGGCCCGUGGAAUCCUGUGUGAAUCCGCCAAGACCACUUGGCUGCCUGAAUACCUCCUGGUGACCGAUAGCGGACGAGUACCGUGAGGGAAUGGUGAAAAGUACCCCGGGAGGGGAGUGAAACAGUACCUGAAACCGGGCGCUCACAAGCCGUCAGGGCCCCCGUUUUGUGGGGUGAUGGCGUGCCUUUUGAAGAAUGAGCCUGCGAGUCAGUGCCGUGUCGCGAGGUUAACCCGUGUGGGGCAGCCGUAGCGAGAGCGAGUCCGAACAGGGCGUCCUAGUGGCGCGGCCUGGACCCGAAGCGGGGUGAUCUACCCAUGGCCAGGUUGAGGCACGUGUAAGAGCGUGUGGAGGACCGCACCCACCUCAGUUGAAAAUGGGGGGGAUGAGCUGUGGGUAGGGGUGAAAGGCCAAUCAGACUCCGUGAUAGCUGGUUCUCCCCGAAAUGCAUUUAGGUGCAGCGUCGCGUGCCGCCCCCUGGAGGUAGAGCUACUGGGUGGCUGAUGGGCCCCACAGGGUUACUGACGUCAGCCAAACUCCGAAUGCCAGUGGGGUGUGGCGGGGCAGUGAGACCGCGGGGGAUAAGCUCCGUGGUCGAGAGGGAAACAGCCCAGACCGCCGGCUAAGGCCCCUAAGCGCGCGCUAAGUGGGAAAGGAUGUGCGGCCGCGUGGACAACCAGGAGGUUGGCUUAGAAGCAGCCAUCCUUGAAAGAGUGCGUAAUAGCUCACUGGUCAAGUGGUCGUGCGCCGACAAUGUAGCGGGGCUCAAGCGCGCCGCCGAAGCCGCGGGCCCACCGCGUGAUCCCUCCGGGAGGCCUGGCCUCCUUUGGCAGGGGUGGUGGGUGGUAGGGGAGCGUCCCGCGCUGGGUGAAGCCCCGGGGUGACCCAGGGGUGGACGGCGUGGGAGCGAGAAUGCAGGCAUGAGUAGCGAUACUAGGGUGGGAAGCCCUAGCGCCGAAUGACCAAGGGUUCCAGGGCCAGGCUAGUCCGCCCUGGGUGAGUCGGGUCCUAAGGCGAGGCCGACAGGCGUAGUCGAUGGGCAACGGGUUGACAUUCCCGUACCGGCGAAGCACCGCCCGAGCCGAUGCGUGGCUGCUAACCCACGCCCUCGCGCCCCUUUUUUUGGUCUGGCGCCGUCUUCUUGGCGGUGGUGGGCCGGGGGUGUGUGGGGUCUGGGGGCCCGCCGCGCGGGUGCUAGCGUGUUAACAGGGGUGACGCACAGUGGUAGCCUCCGCGGGCCUUGUGGCACGGCCCGUCCAAGCGAGCGGCCCGCCGCCCAGGCAAAUCCGGGUGGCUGUCUUAGGUGGCAGGGGUUAGACGUGAUGGUGACCCGCCCUAUUUUGGGGUGGGGAAGCAGGGUGAUCCUGUGGUGCCGAGAAAAGCCUCGACGCGAUGGUGCCAGCCGCCCGUACCCUAUACCGACACAGGUGGUCGGGCAGAGCAUGCCUAGGCGCACGAGUGAUCCAUGGUGAAGGAACUCGGCAAAAUGCCCCCGUAACCUCGGGAGAAGGGGGGCCCGGUCCCUGAAGCCCCUUUGCGGGCUGGGGGAGAGGGCCGCAGAGACCAGGGAGAAGCGACUGUUUACUAAAAACACAGGUCCGUGCGAAGCCGUAAGGCGAUGUAUACGGACUGACGCCUGCCCGGUGCUGGAAGGUCAAGAGGAUCUGUCAGCCCCACGGUUGUGGGGUGAAGCGGUGAGUCCAAGCCCCAGUAAACGGCGGUGGUAACUAUAACCAUCCUAAGGUAGCGAAAUUCCUUGUCGGGUAAGUUCCGACCUGCACGAAUGGCGUAACGACUUCUCCGCUG